AUACUACUCCCUCCGUUUGGAAUUACUUGUCGUAGAAAUGGAUGUAUCUAGAUGUAUUUUAGUUCUAGAUACAUCCAUUUUCGAGACAAGUAAUUCCGAACAGAGGGAGUACCUC
rnacentral:pre_miRNA from 1 species